CCUACGGGAGGCAGCAGUGAGGAAUAUUGGUCAAUGGGCGCGAGCCUGAACCAGCCAAGUAGCGUGAAGGAUGACUGCCCUACGGGUUGUAAACUUCUUUUAUAAAGGAAUAAAGUGAGGCACGUGUGCCUUUUUGUAUGUACUUUAUGAAUAAGGAUCGGCUAACUCCGUGCCAGCAGCCGCGGUAAUACGGAGGAUCCGAGCAUUAUCCGGAUUUAUUGGGUUUAAAGGGAGCGUAGGUGGGUUGUUAAGUCUGUUGUGAAAGUUUGCGGCUCAACCGUAAAAUUGCCAUGGAUACUGGCAGGGUUGAGUGCGGGUGAGGUAGGAGGAAUGCGUGGUGUAGCGGUGAAAUGCUUAGAUAGCACGAAGAACUCCGAUUGCGAAGGCAGAUUACUAAACUGCCACUGACGUUGAUGCUCGAAGGUGUGGGUAUCAAACAGGAUUAGAUACCCCAGUAGUC
rnacentral:rRNA from 1 species